UGUGUGGGCACACGAGAAAGGAUAAGAUUAGGAAUGAGGAUAUCCGGGGUAAAGUAGGAGUAGCCGAAAUUGAAGGAAAGAUGAGAGAAAAUCGGUUACGAUGGUUUGGACAUGUGCAAAGAAGGCCUACUGACGCUUCGAUUAGAAGAUGCGACUAUGGGACAGAGGUUCAGGGCCGAAGGGGUAGAAGAAGACCUAGGAAAACUUUGGAAGAGACUCUAAGAAAAGACUUAGAGUACUUGGAUCUAACGAAGGACAUGACACAUGAUCGAGCACAAUGGCGUUCUAAGAUUCAUAUAGCCGAUCCCACUCAGUGACUUGGAUUUUCCAAGUCUCCAACCGAGAAGUUUUCCUCACUCGGAAAAUUAAGGGAACACUACCCCAACCUACAUGCUCCACUCAGAAAGCUUCAACAUACAAGCUUCAACAAAAGAAAAUUCAAAGAACUUAGCAAAGAAGGCUUUGGUGUAUCUAACACAAUACGUUGAAAUGAAGGAAAGCUUAUUUAUUGAUAUCCCCGAUAAGCUACAAAUAUGUACAUAUACAUGAGUCAAAAUAAACACACAAGAGGGAGCCUUCACAAAGGUUGCUUAGGAGAAGUCUCAGCAGUCGGUAGAGCCCCAGAAAGAGAAGGCACCGGAGGGGGAUCAUUUGGAGCCUCAGUACUGGACAGAACCCUAGAAAGAGGAGGCAUCAGAGGUUGAUCAUUUGGAGCUUCAUUACGCGGUACAGCCCCAGAAGACGAAGGCAAUAAAUGCCUUUGGAACAAAACCACAAAUCUCUGAUGAUCAAGUAAAACCUGACCAUCAGUUUCCUUCAUCUGGUCAAGCUUCCUCUUCAUGUUUGUAGCAUUGUCAUGUGCGAGCCGGUGCAACUGUUUAUUCUCAUGCUUGAGCCCUCUAAUCUCCUGUUUGAGACUCAUCACUUCAGCCGCCAAUGAUUCAACUUGGCGGGUUCGAGCAAAUAGGCGUUGGGCCAUAUUAGACACAGAACCUGCACACUGAACAUUGAGAGCCAGCGAAUCCUUAACAGCUAACUCAUCAGACCGUUUGGAAAGUAGUCUGUUAUCUUUGGGAGUGAGAAGGUUCCUGGCCACCACCGCAGCGGUCAUAUCAUUCUUCAUCACGGAAUCCCCAACGGUAAGAGGACCAGUAGGGGAGACGAAGGAUGAGCGCCAUAUGUUGUCUGGAGAAGGCGGGGCUGCCUCUUCAACAAGGUUCAAGUCAAAACGACGGUCGGAGGGGCCAGACAUUUUCAAAGGUGUUGAAGAGAGAAGAGGUCGGACAAAUCAAGAUCUUAGAAGUGCAAGAAGAAUGAAGCUUCUACUGGUGGAGAUUCAAGUGUGCUUUGGAACUUAAUGACAGCCCCUAUAAAAAUCUGCACUCGACGGAGCUUCAGAAAUCGAAGAGGCGCCUGCUCAGAAAUCGAAGAGGCGCUUUGCUUUCAAAAGCUGGGCUGCUUAGAGAUCACGAGGGUUGAUCUCAGAAAUCGAAGAGGCGUUUGCUUUCUCAAAAGUUGGGCUGCUCAAAGACCUCGAAGGCUGAUCUCAGAAAUCGAAGAGGCGCUCGCUUUCUCAAAAGCUGGGCUCCCCAGAGACCACGAGGGCCGAUCUCAGAAAUCGAAGAGGCACCUACUUUUCCAGCCUUGUCAGCACCUGUCACACGCACACUCAGCUUUGCGAAAAUUAUGGGCAUUCUGUCGAAGACUUCUGGGGAAGUAGAAAACACAUGAAUCUUACUGUUCAAUCACCCACUUCCCACACGCAACAAUAGCUCAUGGGUACCACAGAUAACUUUGCCAAAGUUGAGCACGUGAAGCUUGCAGCUCCUACUACAUCGCUCUGACCAAGAAGGGUAAAAGAAUAGCAAAAAAACAGCACUAACAAAGUUUAGACCCAUAAAUUUUGAAGGUCUAGCUACCAUAUUAUUACCCACAAGGGUAAAGGAACAGUACCACUGCUGGAUAAUUGGAAAGUCCUUGUGUGUCAACCUCUGUGCUUCGUGGCAAGGUAGACUAGCAAACAUGCCCAACCUUUACUCACAUUCGAGAAAACACUCCCAAUAAGAUUGCUUGCUCCAAAAUCGAAGAGGCACCGUCCUCCGAAUCUCGAGAGCCAGACUCUCAACAUGACUACUUUCUUAAAAAUCGAAGAGAGGGUAAAGGAACAGUACCAUUGCUGGAUAAUUGGAAAGUCCCUGUGUGUCAACCUCUGUGCUUCAUGGCAAGGUAGACUAGCAAACAUGCCCAACCUUUACUCACAUUCGAGAAAACACUCCCAACAAGAUUGCUUGCUCCAAAAUCGAAGAGGCACCGCCCUCCGAAUCUCGAGAGCCAGACUCCCAACAUGAUUACUUUCUCAAAACUCGAAGAGACACUGCUCCCCGAAUCUUCGAGAGCCAGACCCCCCAGCAUGAUUGCUUUCUCAAAAAAUCGAUGAGGCAUCGUUCUCCGAAUCAAUCGAAGAGGCGCUCGCUUUCUCAAAAGCUGGGCUGCUCAGAGACCACGAGGGCCGAUCUCAGAAAUCGAAGAGGCACCUACUUUUCUAGCCUUGUCAGCACCUGUCACACGCACACUCAGCUUUGCAGAAAUUAUGGGCAUUCUGUCGAAGACUUCUGGUGAAGUAGAAAGCACAUGAAUCUUACUGUUCAAUCACCCACUUCCCACACGCAACAAUAGCUCAUGGGUACCACAGAUAACUUUGCCAAAGUUCUCUGCCAAAGUUGAGCACGUGAAGCUUGCAGCUCCCACUACAUCGCUCUGACCAAGAAAGGUAAAAAGAAUAGCAAAGAAAAGCAGAAACAGCACUAACAAAGUUUAUACACAUAAAUUUUGAAGUUCUAGCUACCAUAUUAUUACCCACAAGGGUAAAGGAACAAUACCACUGCUGGAUAAUUGGAAAGUCCCUGUUUGUCAACCUCUGUGCUUCGUGGCAAGGUAGACUAGCAAACAUGCCCAACCUUUACUCACAUUCGAGAAAACACUCCCAACAAGAUUGCUUGCUCCAAAAUCGAAGAGACACCGUCCUCCGAACCUCGAGAGCCAGACUCCCAACAUGACUACUUUCUCAAAAUCGAAGAGAGGGUAAAGGAACAGUACCAUUGCUGGAUAAUUGGAAAGUCCCUGUGUGUCAACCUUUGUGCUUCGUGGCAAGGUAGACUAACAAACAUGCCCAACCUUUACUCACAUUCGAGACAACACUCCCAACAAGAUUGCUUGCUCCAAAAUCGAAGAGGCACCGCCCUCCGAAUCUCGAGAGCCAGACUCCCAACAUGAUUACUUUCUCAAAAAUCGAAGAGACACUGCUCUCCGAAUCUCGAGAGCCAGACCCCCAGCAUGAUUGCUUUCUCAAAAAUCGAAGAGGCAUCGUUCUCCGAAUCUCGAGAGCCAGAUACCACAGACCACUUUUUCAAAGUGCUCUGACAGAGUUAAAACAUGUGAAACUGGCAGCUCCCACUACCGUGCUAUGACCAAGCAGGGUAAAGGAAUAGCAUUACUACUUGUUAGGGAGACUCCUAUAUAUGUCGACCUCCAUCCCCAACAGACAGGUAGACCUGCAAAAAUGCUCAACCUUUCAUCAUAUCUGAGAGGGCACUCCCAACGAAGCCUUUCGAAAUAUUCAGCUUUCUUUUCCCCCGAUAAUACCUCUGCAAACAAGCUAUACUAGAGCAAGAAUAUCUCAUAUCAUCAGGGUUAAAAGCAAGAGUAUCCCAUAUCAUGCUUUUUUCCCUGUCUUUUCCUUUGGCCUUGUUUUUACCUGCAAGACAAGGAGAAAGAGCAAUCAGUCAGCACUUGGAAUCAAGCUUCCAGCCAGGAACUGACUGCCUGGAACCCCUUACCUGAUUACUUACCUGGCAUUGCUCUCGAGUACUCAUCUUCAACAUCUUAUGUUUCCAGGGAAGAUUCCGCAUCUGCUUGAGGAACAGAUAGGGCAAGUGCGAAAGAUACAAGGAAGCAUGUGGAGACAAGCGUAACAGCACACGUGCCGAUACAUCCAUUACUCUGUCAAAAGCAAAAGUAUCCCAUAUCAGCAGGGUGGAACGUACUCUAGAUUUGAUGGACUUGUUUUGACCCUCAAAUUCUUCAGUCGGCCUUAUACUCUGGAGGAAACCAGAAAACCCUCCAGCUCAGUUCAAGAAUAAGCCUUUGGAAAGUUACUUCUUCAAAAGCAAAAGUAUCUCAUAUCAUCUCUUCUCAUUUUUCUUCUCUUUAUCCUUCAUGCUGCUGCAAGAUGGGGAGAAGGUGAACAAUCAGUCGGAGCUCUGAUUGCUUACCUUGUCUGUCACCUCUUUCAGCAGACCCCCUAGCUCGGCAACUUGGGGGACUCUUACUACAUGGUUUGUAUCGCGCUUGACCAAGCCUGAAACUACAAGUAAGCUUCAAGUGAAAUUGAUACAUUACCUUGUGCAUCUCCACCAGUUAAAGAUACCACCCCUGGAUGGAGGAAGAGUACUUCCAGAGAAGAUGCCACAUCUACCUAUGAAACAGAUAAGGCAAGUUAAGACGACACCACACUCCGAUACUUAGAAGUUUCGUGAUUACGAGAUCAUUCUCCCACAAUAUUUCCUAAUGUCAUUUGUACUAAAUCAUUCACUUGUACUCACUAAAGGAGAGCUUGAACCUAUGUACUUGUGUAAACCCUUCACAAUUAAUGAGAACUCUUCUAUUCCGUGGACGUAGCCAAUCUGGGUGAACCACGUACAUCUUUGUGUUUGCUUUCCUAUCUCUAUCCAUUUAUAUACUUAUCCACACUAAUGACCGGAGCAAUCUAGCGAAGAUCACAAAAAGCGACCGUUUUCGCUACCUAGGAUCUAUCUUGCAAGAGAACGGAGAAUUAGAUGGAGAUCUCAACCAUAGAAUACGAGCUGGAUGGAUGAAGUGUAAGAAUGCAUCCGGCAUGUUGUGUGACCGUCGUAGGCCACUGAAGCUCAAGGGAAAAUUUUAUAGGACGGCAAUAAGGCCAGCGAUGUUGUAUGACACAGAAUGUUGGGCGGUGAAGCAUCAACACGUACACAAAAUGGGUGUAGCGGAGAUGAGGAUGCUUCGUGGGAUGUGUGGGCACACGAGAAAGGAUAAGAUUGGGAAUGAGGAUAUCCGAGGUAAAGUAGGAGUAGCCGAAAUUGUAGGAAAGAUGAGAGAAAAUCGGCUCCGGUGAUUUGGACAUGUGCAAAGAAGGCCGAAUGACGCUCCGGUUCGAAGAUGUGACUACGGGACAGAGGUUCAGGGCCGAAGGGGUAGAGGAAGACCUAGGAAAACUUUGGAAGAGACUAUAAGAAAAGACUUAGAGUACUUGGAUCUAACGGAGGACAUGACACAAAACCGAGCGCAAUGGCGUUCUAGGAUUCAUAUAGCCGAC
rnacentral:lncRNA from 1 species